rnacentral:rRNA from 1 species
UCUGGAAAGGCGCGCGAUACAGGGUGACAGCCCCGUACACAAAAAUGCACAUGCUGUGAGCUCGAUGAGUAGGGCGGGACACGUGGUAUCCUGUCUGAAUAUGGGGGGACCAUCCUCCAAGGCUAAAUACUCCUGACUGACCGAUAGUGAACCAGUACCGUGAGGGAAAGGCGAAAAGAACCCCGGCGAGGGGAGUGAAAAAGAACCUGAAACCGUGUACGUACAAGCAGUGGGAGCACGCUUAGGCGUGUGACUGCGUACCUUUUGUAUAAUGGGUCAGCGACUUAUAUUCUGUAGCAAGGUUAACCGAAUAGGGGAGCCGAAGGGAAACCGAGUCUUAACUGGGCGUUAAGUUGCAGGGUAUAGACCCGAAACCCGGUGAUCUAGCCAUGGGCAGGUUGAAGGUUGGGUAACACUAACUGGAGGACCGAACCGACUAAUGUUGAAAAAUUAGCGGAUGACUUGUGGCUGGGGGUGAAAGGCCAAUCAAACCGGGAGAUAGCUGGUUCUCCCCGAAAGCU